GACGAACGCUGGCGGCGUGCUUAACACAUGCAAGUCGAACGCUGAAGACCUGGCUUUUGUUGGGUUGGAUGAGUGGCGAACGGGUGAGUAACACGUGAGUAACCUGCCCUCUUCUUUGGGAUAACGCCCGGAAACGGGUGCUAAUACUGGAUAUUCACUGGCCUUCGCAUGGGGGUUGGUGGAAAGGGUUGUUCUGGUGGGGGAUGGGCUCGCGGCCUAUCAGCUUGUUGGUGGGGUGAUGGCCUACCAAGGCUUUGACGGGUAGCCGGCCUGGGAGGGUGACCGGUCACAUUGGGACUGGGAUACGGCCCAGAGUCCUACGGGAGGCAGCAGUGGGGAAUAUUGCACAAUGGGCGAAAGCCUGAUGCAGCGACGCCGCGUGAGGGAUGGAGGCCUUCGGGUUGUAAACCUCUUUCGCUCAUGGUCAAGCCGCAACUGUGGGUUGUGGUGAGGGUAGUGGGUAAAGAAGCGCCGGCUAACUACGUG
rnacentral:rRNA from 1 species